rnacentral:rRNA from 1 species
UGGGGAAUCUUGCACAAUGGGGGAAACCCUGAUGCAGCGACGCCGCGUGAGCGAUGAAGCCCUUCGGGGUGUAAAGCUCUUUCGGCAGGGACGAUUAUGACGGUACCUGCAGAAGCAGCUGCGGCUAACUACGUGCCAGCAGCCGCGGUAAUACGUAGGCAGCAAGCGUUGUUCGGAGUUACUGGGCGUAAAGGGUGCGUAGGCGGCUUCUUAAGUUUGGUGUGAAAUCUCCCGGCUCAACUGGGAGGGUGCGCCGAAUACUGAGGGGCUAGAGUGUGGGAGAGGAAAGUGGAAUUCCAGGUGUAGCGGUGAAAUGCGUAGAUAUCUGGAGGAACACCGGUGGUGUAAACGGCUUUCUGGACCAUUACUGACGCUGAUGCACGAAAGCGUGGGUAGCAAACAGGAUUAGAUACCCCCGUAGUCC